GACGAACCGAGCGAACGUUGUUCGGAAUCACUGGGCUUAAAGGGCGCGUAGGCGGCUUGCCAAGUCAGGGUGAAAUUUGCGGCUUAACCGUAACAGUGCCUUGAUACUGGCAGGCUAGAGGGAGACAGGGUGCCGCGGAACUUCUGGUGGAGCGGUGAAAUGCGUUGAUAUCAGAAGGAACGCCGGUGGCGAAGCGGCGGACUGGAUCUUUCUGACGCUGAGGCGCGAAAGCUAGGGAGCAAACGGG
rnacentral:rRNA from 1 species